GCAAUGUGUGGCAUACGGCUCAGUAACACGUAGUCAACAUGCCCAGGGGACGUGGAUAACCUCGGGAAACUGAGGAUAAACCGCGAUAGGUCAUUUCUUCUGGAAUGGGUAAUGACCCAAAUCUACAUGGCCCCUGGAUUGGACUGCGGCCGAUCAGGCUGUUGGUGAGGUAAUGGCCCACCAAACCUGUAACCGGUACGGGCUCUGAGAGGAGGAGCCCGGAGAUGGGCACUGAGACAAGGGCCCAGGCCCUAUGGGGCGCAGCAGGCGCGAAACCUCUGCAAUAGGCGAAAGCUUGACAGGGUUACUCUGAGUGAUUUCCGUUAAGGAGAUCUUUUGGCACCUCUAAAAAUGGUGCAGAAUAAGGGGUGGGCAAGUCUGGUGUCAGCCGCCGCGGUAAUACCAGCACCCCGAGUGGUCGGGACGUUUAUUGGGCCUAAAGCAUCCGUAGCCGGUUCUACAAGUCUUCCGUUAAAUCCACCUGCUUAACAGAUGGGCUGCGGAAGAUACUAUAGAGCUAGGAGGCGGGAGAGGCAAGCGGUACUCGAUGGGUAGGGGUAAAAUCCGUUGAUCCAUUGAAGACCACCAGUGGCGAAGGCGGCUUGCCAGAACGCGCUCGACGGUGAGGGAUGAAAGCUGGGGGAGCAAACCGGAUUAGAUACCCGGGUAGUCCCAGCUGUAAAC
rnacentral:rRNA from 1 species